rnacentral:rRNA from 1 species
UACGUAGGGUGCGAGCGUUAAUCGGAAUUACUGGGCGUAAAGCGUGCGCAGGCGGUUCGUUGUGUCGGUGGUGAAAUCCCCGGGCUUAACCUGGGAAUGGCCAUGGAAACUGGCGAACUGGAGUGCGGCAGAGGGGGGUGGAAUUCCGCGUGUAGCAGUGAAAUGCGUAGAGAUGCGGAGGAACACCGAUGGCGAAGGCAGCCCACUGGGCUAGCACUGACGCUCAGGCACGAAAGCGUGGGGAGCAAACAGG